GUCGAUCAAUCCGAAUCCAAGCCCGUUAUCGAUAAAAAAUCGUUUGCCGUUUCGUUUCCGCGGUUCGGGCCUCCGUGGCCUCCAAGCCGGGACCGAGCUCGCCACAAUGUGUGUGUGCGUGUGAGUUGGGGGAAGGGUCGAGUGUUGUCGGCGUGUUAGCGCGCGUGUGUCGGUCACGUCGCUUCCAUAAUCGCCCUUAACACCUUCCGUUGAACUUAUUGAUUAUUGAUCGGAGCAAAUGCGUUCGGGUUUACAGCACAGAGAGUUGUUUUUUAACGAAACAGUUUGGUGAAUGCGCGUAAAGAACUCCCAAAUUAUAGCUCGAAACCAUGGUAAACGACUUCCAAAUCACGUGUCACCGUGACUUAUAUUUAUUUAUAAAGUUCAACUUAAUCAAUAUUGUUGGGGGCAAAAACAACAGCAAAAUGAUUCUCUUGGCGCUCCAGGACAAGUGGUGGACCUACGUGGCUGUACCGUGACCGCCCGACUCAGCAGGCCGCAGGUCCGGCCAGGGACGGGAGCGAAGGCCCAGCUGCAGUGGCGCCCUCCAGCCGCCUGGUGUCGUUAGUGUCGUUGGGAGCUGACGCGACCUUAUUCUUUGGACUUCGAAGCCAGCAGAAACACGAGCUUUUAAGGUCCGGAAUCCUACAGUUAAACCAAAUGUACGUGAACGUCUUUUGAGAUGAGAAAAAGAUGUUGAGUGGACAGUCGUGACCUUGAACUGGAGAAUGAAAUAAAAUAUGAAACUUCAAUGCCGCACAAACAAAGUGAGGAUCUCAUGUGGUAUCUGGGAAGUCUUCCCUAACCUGCAAGCCAAGGAGGUCCCUCUGGAGUGCCUGGUUUUAACCAUCUCUUGCACUCCCCGCUCAGCCUGUAAUGGAGGAGGUCUUGACGUGCUGCGCUCCCCUGUCAUCACAGGGAGGUUUUGCUCACUGAUCCCUUCCCUCUUGUGAUAUAAAAAGUAUCCUGAUUGUUCUCCAUCGUCUCUCCGUCACCUGACAUUCCUCCUGCUGGGCCACUCCCUCCUUUCUCUCUCCUCCACAUGUGUUGCUCAGCAACCGUCGCACGUCUACAUGCUGAUUUUCUCGCUCUGGAACAGGCUAGUGAAAGAGGAGCAACAGCCUCACCAUGUCACCGUAGCUUUUGAGUGACUGAUGUACUCUCUAUUGGGCUGUACAGUGAUUGUCAAAUCUGUUAGUAUGUGUCUGUUUCCAUCUGCGCAGUCUUGUUUUGUGUGCACGUAAGCCUGAGUGUUGUGGUGUGUGCGCGCCACACAUGAAUGUUUCUGCCUGCACAUCAGCAUGUGGGUUAAGUACAUGUGAACAUGCAGUCCAUGUGAGGGAUUCAGGUUGAACUUCAGACUAACACGCCAAGUGUGUUCAUCAUAAACAUUCCAAGCAGCAGCAGUCAGGUCAAAGGUCAGUGAAGCAUGUUUUCAGUCACAAACUUGUAUGAGUCUAGUGUGUUUGUUUCCCACCCACAGUACACCAUGACACAGGUCCAGCAGUGACAGACUGAGCACACUGCUGCUCUCGCUGGCUAUAUGUGUAUGUGAGUUCAUUAGCUGCGUGUCUUUCUUUCUGCAAGACAAAUUACAGUUGAACACAAAUCCAAAUUUAUGCGCCACAGAAACAGUAAAAAAAAAGGUCAGAUCAGAGAAAUAUUGAGACUCAUGUUGUAACUUUUCUAGUUCUUGAACUACACUUUGGGAAUGGUUGUGAACAUUGUAACUGAUAAUCGACAAUGACUUUUAGUUCUCAGCUUGUUUUAGAUAUACUGUCAAUAUUGUGUUUGAUUUGGGAACCGUCACUAUGAUUGUUGUAAAGGCCAUGAGGAAGCACUACUACUGUGAGCUGCUGUGCAGGAAACAAGACGCAAGGGCAGGUGCUGGAGUUCUGGCCUGAAGCUACAUACAUGAGCUGAGAUAAAGACAAUGACAAAUCAUACAGCCAAGUGCCAGCAGCUCUGAAAAUACCCAGGUUAACCAGCCCGCCAUUCCUACAAAAAAAUUCGUAGGAAUGGCAUUUAUGUGCGUAAGUACAAAAAUAUCUGGAUUUAUCAAGCAUGCGUACACCAGUUCACGCAACACUCACGUAUGGAUUUUGUCACUUGCAUCCAGACUCACCUCCAUUUGACUAUAUACAGUAGCAACAACCCCUUCAAAAAUGUGUGAAUGUUCCACUCCACCGUUACACACAGAGAUGGAAAUAUUGCGUGAGAAUAUAACACAUAAUUAUUAUUAUAGUCAUGUGUGAAAUUUUGCAUGUUCCUAAGCACAAAUACAAACUAACGUGGGCCCUGGUGUCUAGUUUUACCAGUAAAAAUCAGAGUAAAACUAUUCAAUGAAGUUUUCUGUUUCUAUUGGUUUGUUUUUAAGAUACUUGAAAUAAAACUGGAACAUGGUUUCAGUCAGGUUUGACGCAUGAAUCAUGCCAUCUGAUUUAGAUUUCAUUCAAGUUGUAGUCCAAAAUGUAAUUAUUGUUCUUGUGCGUAAGAUCACGUUUAAAAGGUAUUAUUAAAUUUCAGUAUUUUUUCUCCGUUAUGGAGGUUAUGUUUUCAAUCAUGUUCAAAAUAAUGUGAAAAGUUAUGCACAGUUUUGGAUUUAACUUUGAAAGUGAUCGUCAGGUUCCAAGAAUUUUUAAAGAAUUCUUGAAAAUUGGGAAAUAGAAGCGCUUGUUGAAGACACAUGUUGAUCCCAGUUUUAUACUCUAAUUCAUUGGUUCACCAUGUUCAGAUAUUUAAGUUAAGAUAACCGCGGUUGCCUAACUUAGAUCUGUCCUUUUGUUAAAAAAAAAAGAAAAAAAAAGUUAUUUGUCAGAUAGUAGUUGCAAAUGUAUUUUAAUCUUCUACUUUUAUUUUUGCUAAUUUACAUUGGUAAAGUUUGGCCUACUAUUACUGUAAUAUCAAGUUUAUACCCUGUAGUUCUCAACUAAGCAAGUUAAACUGACUUAAGUCUGUUUUAUAUAAUUCAUUUUGUGUUUAGUUGGAAAUAAUACUUGUAAUAAUGUAAUAACGCCUUUUCAGGUUGCUGUUAAAGAUCUUAAUGAAAUGUAUUUAAAACCGAUCUAUUCAGGCAAACAGUGAGCUCUGGUCUUGAAUGGAGAUAAAACUCAGCCCACUGAAGUCAUUAUAGCUCCUGAGAAACAUCAGCAACAGGAGGCGGAGCUACACCUCCUCACUCUUUCUCAAGGGCACGCACCACAGACACCUUAUACUGGAACUCAGCAUCCUCCUCGUCCCCCCAUUUCUGAAGUGACCCUACAUGACCAUCUCCAUCGUCCUACCACAUGUACAUGUAGUCCAACAAGUAUAAAAGAACAGAUCGGGUCAGGUUUUGUAGGGUAGACGAUCAUGACGCUCUUCAUCUUUCAUGUCAACAAGGUCUCCUGAUCAACUCCAGGCAAAUAGACCACAAUAAAUUAAACACUGACGCCGUGUGCAGAAGGAUAGAGUUGAAUUCCUGUUUUAUAAGCUAGGAGAACCGAACGCAUCUCAGACUUAUGCUGCAUUGAUGCCCCGUUAAACUCCCUGCACACCUGAGCUCUGUGCGACCUGUCGACUCUUUUAAGUUGGGCCUGCAAACAGUUAAAACUAGAAAUUCAGUGCAGUCCAUUGUCCAGGUGAGAAGUGGACACUGCUGUGCAGCGUGUCAGGUUAAAGAACCAAAGCUGUCUAAUGGUUUUCAUGUCUGAAAUAAUGUUUAUUGAGCACAUAGUAUGCGUUUUAUCCAGCCACCCAGUGUGUCAGUGUUUCUCGCUUAUGUCAGCCAUUGUUAGUUGUCAUAUGCAACACUCUUCUCUCACAUAACUACUUGUGUCCCACAGUACUCUUAGUACUCUCUCUUAUGUUUCCCAUGUGUUAGUACGGUAGGUGUGAAUGAAUGAACAUCUAGCUUGUGGUUUCUUUAAGGUUUUGUCAAAUACAAAACUUUCCAUUUUACAAACUUCUUCGAAUCAAAUCUAUAUUAACCUCUGCUGUUCCGGCCGUGAGGCAACAUGAAGGUCACCUGUUCUAACCUAGCUUGGGGCGACUCUGGGCUUGACUGGACCUGCGUCCUCUGCAGUUCCUAAGUUCUUCCUUUGCUGCGUGAUGACUCCACUCUCUUCUGUGUUGUAAAUGACUUGCCUACCUGCAAUAA